CAAAAUACCCGUCGAAAAUGGCGCCUGUCGUGUUCCUCCAGCUGUGCUUGCUACCCACCGUUUUGCUGUUUGUUGCCGCUUUGCUGUUUUAUCUGCGGGUGACACGGUUUCAAGACCAACGAAAAAGAAAGUGCGUGAAGCUGCGAAUCAAGACCGUCCGCGACAAACCUAUGGGAACGGGCGCCCAAGGAAGGAUCCCAAGAUGGCAGAUUCCGGUCCCAUCAGAAAGGACAACGCCUGCGACGAAGCUUGCCCAUUACGAACACUAGGUGACGACGUCAGACGUGGACGCCAUCCAAAUGGCCAGCUUGAUUCCUGCUUACCCAUACGAAGCUGCACUGUGGUCACGUGGCCAACUGGUUCUUCAUCGCCCUAUCUUAUCUCCAACAAAGGGAACGGCACGACCAGGGACGAGAAGUGCCUGGUACACGACAUCCAAGCACAAGGCCAACUUCCUGACCGGGUUCCGAACGGACAUCUUCAAGCAGGAGUGAACCACCGACAGCGAGCUGGCUGCUAAAAAGGAGCGCGUGGAGUUGCGUUCUCGAGCCGUCGUCCGUGUGAGUCCCGGUGCCACCAGACGUCCACCCAACCAGCAGGAGCGCGUGGAGUUGCGUUCUCGAGCCGUCGUCCGUGUGAGUCCCGGUGCCACCAGACGUCCUCCUAACCAGCAGGAGCGCGUGGAGUUGCGUUCUCGAGCCGUCGUCCGUGUGAGUCCCGGUGCCACCAGACGUCCUCCUAACCAGCAGGGCAAAGCUUCACAUGGACCAAAGAGCAGACUAGGACACAUACAGCGUUGGUUCUAUCGAAAGUUCAGGAGCCUGGAAGCCAACCACAGCACUCUAUUGCCUAGCAUCGGCUAAUCGACAUUCAAAGCGGUCGUCUUCUACGCCUCGCCCUUUGCCGCCAUCGCAAAGGAUAUUCUAUUACACAAGCCUGCAAUGCGAUUGCAGCAUCGUCUGGAAGCGCUGCGUAAUGAUUCCUUCGCACGCGACCACUUGAUGUUUGCGAAUCGGGGCAUCUUGCAUGAUGCGAGCAGCCACACUUCACUUUUCCUGCACACUGUUACAACGCUACAUACGAUGGGUGUGUGUCGAAGAACGUCUGGUGGGGCCGGGACUGACACGGGAGACCGGCUCGAGGUUCCAACUCCACGUACGCCUGCAAGUUCAAGAAGUUACAGUUCGGCGUGCGCAGUGACAUAUCAGACCAUGUCGUUGAAAUUGCCAAGAUAUAUGCGCAUCCCAAUGAAGGUUUCAGAAAUAAACAGAA